GUGUGUGUGGGACCGGCUGAGGACUCUGUGUACCUAGAGUUUGCUUUGUAACCGACUGCGUGUGCUUGCGUGUGGGUUCGGGAGCAAAUGCAGGGGGGCGAACGAGUGUGAGAGGGGGAGAGAAAGAUGAGAGAGGAAAAAAAAAUGUAUGGAGGAAAGACUGAUUAUUCUGGAAGUUAACUCAUAUUGCACUCAAGAAGGGACUCAAGAUUUUGGAAGCUACUUUUUGAUAGGAAAAAAACAUUUUUGGUCACUAAAAUCGCUAUUCUUAAAACAGCAAGUGGGCUCUGGUGACCUUACAGUGAGGGAACGCCACGUGAGUUUGACUGACCAAGAUACACGCUGAUGGAGAAGUGAAAGUCGUUCGGCUCUGACCCCGAACAAUGAGCUCCGACAGACAGCCGCCAUCAUGGAAAUGUCACGGCCAACAUCAGAGACCCGGCAGCCUCCUCUCUCAUUCCCUUAAUCCACAAUCCCUCCUCUCCUCUCCUGAGCUGCAUACAUAUUCAGCAGCUCAAGUCCUCACCAUUCUAAUGAGGGUUAGACCAGCGGGCUAUGAAAGAGAGGAGAGAUACGGGGAGGUGGGUGGGUGAGUGAGUGGGGGGUUUAAAAGAAAGGAGAGACCGUCUUUGAACUCCCAAAGAAAGAGAGAGACGGAUGAGAGAUGAGGAUGAAUAGAUAGAUGGCUGAAGUGAUGAGAGAAGGAGUGAGAGGAGAGACAGAUCAAAUGUAAAGAUCUGUGGUCUUUACACAGCAGGGUUAGUUGUGUUCGAUUUAAAUGCUGCUUUAAGAGAGCGUCCUGUUAUAUUUCAUCACUUGAUUCACUUGAGACACUUAAGACUGAAGUGUGUCUUUAUGUUUGAUCUAUUCCAGUUUAAAAUGACACUUCUAUCAUCAUUCAUGUUGUUUCAAAUCUGUAUGACUUCAUUUGUUCUAAAAGUUGUUGAGCAGAACAUUCACGCCACGCUGUUCUGUACUUAUGUGACCACAGGUUAGGAAUGACAUAAGAGUGAUUUUAUUUUUCAAUGAGUAUGCAGAGACUCUUCAAGUUUAAGGCAGGUCUUUUGGUUUGCCUGACCAAUUGCAGAUGAGGAGAGUUUGGAAAGAUUAUUUUUGCAGUUUCUUUUGGCACAAGUACAAGAAAAACGAGACAGACCAAUGAAAAAAAGAAAGCAAUAACUUAAAAAGUUCAAUAAUAUUCUGAGGUAGUAAAGAAAUCUAAAAUUUACAUUUAUGCAUUUAACGGAAGCUAUUAUCCAAAGCAACUUGCAAACGCAGUUCGUCAAAGACCGAUUCCAAAUUAUUGUCACCUGUCUGAUUAGGCAAAUUUUAGGCGUAUUUUAAAAACAGGAAAAUAUCAAAAUACCAAAGCUGCUUUUAGAAAA